rnacentral:rRNA from 1 species
UACGGGGGGGGCAAGCGUUGUUCGGAAUUACUGGGCGUAAAGGGCGUGUAGGUGGCCAACUAAGUCAGACGUGAAAUCCCUCAGCUUAACUGGGGAACUGCUUCUGAUACUGGAUGGCUUGAGUUUGGGAGAGGGAUGCGGAAUUCCAGGUGUAGCGGUGAAAUGCGUAGAUAUCUGGAGGAACACCGGUGGCGAAGGCGGCAUCCUGGACCAACACUGACACUGAAAAGCGAAAGCCAGGGGAGCAAACAGG